AUUGAACGCUGGCGGAAUGCUUUACACAUGCAAGUCGAACGGCAGCACGGAUUUCGGUCUGGUGGCGAGUGGCGAACGGGUGAGUAAUGUAUCGGAACGUGCCCAGUCGUGGGGGAUAACGUAGUGAAAAUUACGCUAAUACCGCAUACGAUCUAUGGAUGAAAGCGGGGGAUCGCAAGACCUCGCGCGAUUGGAGCGGCCGAUAUCAGAUUAGGUCGUUGGUGGGGUAAAGGCCCACCAAGCCAACGAUCUGUAGCUGGUCUGAGAGGACGACCAGCCACACUGGAACUGAGACACGGUCCAGACUCCUACGGGAGGCAGCAGUGGGGAAUUUUGGACAAUGGGCGAAAGCCUGAUCCAGCCAUUCCGCGUGCAGGAUGAAGGCCCUCGGGUUGUAAACUGCUUUUGUACAGAACGAAAAGGUUUCUACUAAUACUAGGAGCUCAUGACGGUACUGUAAGAAUAAGCACCGGCUAACUACGUGCCAGCAGCCGCGGUAA
rnacentral:rRNA from 1 species